AUAAACAGCACAGCACACGCAGCAGACAGGGCUAAUCAGUGUGAGCAGGUCGAGUGUCUUAGUGUUCAGAUUAGCAGUACACACACACACACACACACACACACACACACACACACACAUUCAUCUUGGAGUAAAAACAAAAGGCAGUUUUAUACUUGAGCAAUAUCAAAGUUUUUAUUUUAAAAUUAUAGAGGAACAGUAGUACAAUUUGAGAACAGAAAAAGGAGAAUGUAUUUAUCUCUGAAAACUUUGAAAACGUAAAAAGAGCAACCUGAUUUUGCUGUUUGGCGCGAGGCUCCCGACGGGAGGCCCCGCAUUGCAUCACUGUUUGAAGUUUGAAAAAUAUAUCUUUAAAACAGCGUAAAAAAUACAGCUGGAAAAAAAAACCUUCAUCUGUAGUGUACUUUAGUUUUUGCUUUAUGUUGUUUUUUUUUUUUUCUUUUUAGUCCGUUUUUGUCCGUUUACAGCAUAAAAUAUAGAGAGCUGAAUCACCGGUGCUCGGCGGAUAUACAAAACAAAACAAGUUCAAGUGGAAAAAAAAACAAACAGAAAAAACAAACAACAACAGAAAGGAUGGCGUGAGUGUGAAGUGUGUGAGCAAACGGAGAAAUGGAGAAAUGGAAGGAUGUGGAUGAGGACAAGACCAGACCAGGGCUCUUAAACCAGGAGGAACCAGAACCAGACCAGACCAGGGCUCUUAAACCAGGAGGAACCAGAACCAGACCAGACCAGGGCUCUUAAACCAGGAGGAACCGCAGCCACUUCCAUUGCCUAUGUUAACUAGUUAAAUAUAUAUAUAUAUAUAUUUAUAUAUAUAUAUACACCUCUCUCAUAUACUUUCACAUAUAUAUAUAUACUUAUAUAUCCCUCCCACAGUGAUUCCAUAGGGAAAUAAUAAUAAUAUUAAUAAACACACAAGAUGAGAAUCUUCUAUACAGCUUUUUAAAAUACACUUUCAUUUGGAGUAAAGGGAAAAGUCAUAGGACAUUUCUGCAUCACUUCAGUAGAUUCACUGCAUUUACAGAGAGAGACUGCAGAUUCACUGCAUUUACAGACAGAGAGAGACUGCAGCUCCACUGCAUUUACAGAGAGAGACUGCAGCUCCACUGCAUACACAGAGACACACUGAUGCUGCUUUCACUGCAUACACAGACAAAGACUGCUGCUUCUAGGCUGAACCCCACAUACCAGAGAGCUUUAUAAAAUAUGUGCUUCAUGAAAUAAAAAAAAGAAGAGAACAGACA
rnacentral:lncRNA from 1 species